AUAAUAGAAUAGAAAAUUUCCCAAGCGAGAAAGUUGGACGCAAGUAAAAUAUAAAUUGUCAAUAAUAUAUUUAUUUAACUCUCCUUUUAAAUUUUAAAGCCUUUUAAAUUCCCGGUAGUAUGUUUUGGCCAUCGUGAAUUAUCACUCAUCGGUGUUAAGUCAUCGGCUUAAAUUAUUAGCCGCAUUUACUGGACCUGUCUGUCAAUUUAUCAAACAUAUAAGACGUAGUUUCGGAGUAUAAAUAAAAUUUACUUUUCCAAUGAAAAUUAAAAUGGCCCAUCAGAAGUUUAAGCAAUUAGCUGACAGACUUGUGUUAAUUAAACGUCAUUUCUUUGGCAUUGGGUGGCUCUGGUGCAUACGACAUACGGAGAAGGCGUAUUUAAAGGCUGGUUAAUACUGUGCUCUUAAUGCUCAAUGCACACAGCAGCCGGUCAGUCCUCUCUUCUAUCUUAAAGCGUGACGAAACCUACAGUCUAUAUAUUUCGUGACAUCAUCAUCGAAACGUCAUACAUAACGGUCAGAAGCGAUGGCAGAAGCAGUAGCAGGAUCUUGAAGCUCACAAUUGGAACGUCGUCCAACAAUUGUACAGCUGCAAGCUGUUGUAGUGUUUUAUUUUAAAAGCAUAACAAAUUGCUCGUGGAUGUGGAGAUUAAUCUGGCUGAUGAAUUAUUAGCUUUAGCUUCAGUCCAUUUAUUUAUUUAUUUAUUUGUCAAGACAAUUGAGGAGUCUCGUUGGCUCAAUAUCCAAUUGAUGAUUUAUUGUAAAAAUUAAACUGUCAAUUAGAUGAGCGAAUUAAUGAUGAGUUGAGGCUGCAGUUAGUACACAAGACGGUGCAGAUUGGUAUGUAGGUUCUUGAGGAUAAAAAUAGCAUUCUGAUAUUUAGUUUGGUUGAGCCUUUACCGGUGGCAAUGUCUCAGAAACAGAGACAAGAUAUACUUUAUCAUACAGAGAGAGAUCUUUUUCCCCGACAGCUGCUGUUGUAAUAAAAUUUUAAAAACCUAUAUGUGUAAGGAAGACAUACAGAUAUUAUUAAUUACAGAUUAUAUAGAGACGAUGACGGCAUGACGGGAUGAUGCCAUGAAAAAUUAACAAAUUGUUGGGUAAUAAAAUGACCACCCACGAAUCGCCGAUUUAUUGGAGACAAAUAAAUAGCGUAUCAGCAAGUCUAGUUUAAAUCUUCGAACACUGAAUGAGGAUCUAAUCGACACUCCUAAAAUACAAGUAUGACUAAAAAUAGUUACAGAUUUAUAUCCUUACCGUGAACUCUGGAGCUAAAUUAUUUUCUUAUUCGUCUUGCUGCUCGUUUCUUCUUCCUCUCUUUUUUUUACUUUUUAUUUUAUUUUUUCUCCUUCACUCUACCCGGGAUCCCGUCUUUUUUUUUCUUCAAGACCACUAAAUAUAUAGACCCGAUAAUUUUAAAAUCACAGUAAUUA